rnacentral:rRNA from 1 species
GGAACGAACGCUGGCGGCAGGCCUAACACAUGCAAGUCGAACGCCUGUAGCAAUACAGGAGUGGCAGACGGGUGAGUAACGCGUGGGAACGUGCCCAAAGGUACGGAACAACUCCGGGAAACUGGAGCUAAUACCGUAUGUGCCCGAAAGGGGAAAGAUUUAUCGCCUUUGGAUCGGCCCGCGUCUGAUUAGCUAGUUGGUGAGGUAAUGGCUCACCAAGGCGACGAUCAGUAGCUGGUCUGAGAGGAUGAUCAGCCACACUGGGACUGAGACACGGCCAGACUCCUACGGGAGGCAGCAGUGGGGAAUAUUGCACAAUGGGCGCAAGCCUGAUGCAGCAACGCCGCGUGAGGGACGAAAGGCCUUCGGGUUGUAAACCUUCUUUUAAGUAGGGUAAGAAGCGAAAAGUGACGGUACCUGCAGAAAAAACGCACCGGCUAAACUACGUAGCCAAGCAAGCCGC